AUGGAGGUGGGCGAUGAGGCUCGCCCUCGACCGCACAUCCCGUGCUGAUGGCCUCUGCUGCCGG
rnacentral:ncRNA from 1 species